rnacentral:lncRNA from 1 species
UUCCUUGUUCCGUCGUGACCAUCGCCUUCGCUUUCCCCUUCCCUGCCUCUCUAACCGCCGUCGAAAGUUUCGACGCCGUUCAAAUCUCUGUUCUUCAGGUCCAUGACUCCCUAAAUAUUGAAUCUGUGAGUCUCUUCUUCUUCUUUCUUUUUUUUUUUUUUUAAAUAAGAGUAUUAUUUUUGCUUGUGUUUUUUGUGUGGAUGCUAUUUUUAGGCUUUGGAAACUUGAAAAUCAGUGCAGAGAGUGGGGUACGAAACGAAACCGUUUUGAGAGCUAUUUGAAGCUCUCUCUCUCUCUUCUGAUUUCGUUAACUUUUGAGCCAUUUUUCGUACAAGUGUAAAUCUUCCGAAACGGUGAUUCUUUGUUUGUUAUAAAAGUAAGAUGAAAUUAUGCUCUCGAGUAGUUGAAGACUUUCACUUGUGGAAAUAUUCCUGACUUAAAUGUUUUUUUUGCAUUUAAUUUUAUUCUAAAGUUGGAGAAAGCCAGGUUUAUGCUUAAAUAAUUGAGGAAGAUGGUUUCUAGGUAGAAUUUUUGCUAUUAUUGUUUUAAUUUCAGCUUAACUCUGCUAUUUUGCGGCUACCAUGUUAAUUUUUACUUUUAUUUAUUUAUUUGUUGAUAAAUAAAGAAUGCAUAAUACUCCCAAGGAAUUUUCCUUAAUUUUAAUUGCAUUUUUAUUUUUUUAAAAUCAAUCUUCUUGGGCUUUCCUUUUUUGUUUAAUUUUUUUCUUUAGCUGCAAUAUUUUCCCUGAUUACUCUAUUUAGCCUAGUUUGGAUCUGGGGAAUAAUGAAGGAAAUGAAAUAAAAUAAUUGCUCUUAGAAGAUGAAACUUAGCAAGUAAACUGUGGUUAGCUUAGUUUGAAGUGUCUGUCCUUUGGGUUUGUUUAGUUGGUUUCAGUUGUUUGUUCAAUCCAUUAUCUUUGCAAUUUUUAAGUGUGAAUUCUAAAAUUUGCGCUGUGUUUUUUUUUCCGGGAAUUUCGCUGUUUAUCCUCUAUGCGGUACUUCGCCUUGAGGUUCGCAUAGCUUGAAUCAACGGUGCCAAUUCGUUAAAAAAUUUUUUUGGGGGGUAUAUGAGUGAUCAUGGGGUCCGCUUGUUGUGUUGCUGCAAAAGAGAGAACCCUUCCAAACAGAACUCGGAG